ACAAAGGGCUGUCACACCUCUUUCCCAUUCUUCAAUAUACAGUGCUUUGUACAUAGAGGACGUUCAUAUGUCUAUUUCUUUUUUUUACUGAUGGACUUCCAGACCAGCUAGGAAGUCACAGAACACUACUGCAUUUACAGAAGAUGCAGCAAAGACUGUAUCCUGGGAGUCAAUACGUCUCACUACAAGUUUUUCACGUAAAAAUGCAUACCUGAAACAGCGAUAUGGCAUUAUCUAGAGCAGCAACCAUCACAACCUGCGCACGAGGAUGGAAUUGCACAGACGAAAUCCUGGCUGUAGUAGGACGUUCUGCGUUAGCAUGUUGACAAUUCUUUAUCUGGGGAAAAAUAAAGCUGGAAUUUUAUCAAUUCAAA